GGUUAAGCGACUAAGCGUACACGGUGGAUGCCCUGGCAGUCAGAGGCGAUGAAGGGCGUGCUAAUCUGCGAUAAGCGCCGGUAAGGUGAUAUGAACCGUUAUAACCGGCGAUACCCGAAUGGGGAAACCCAGUGUGACUCGUCACACUAUCAUUAACUGAAUCCAUAGGUUAAUGAGGCGAACCGGGGGAACUGAAACAUCUAAGUACCCCGAGGAAAAGAAAUCAACCGAGAUUCCCCCAGUAGCGGCGAGCGAACGGGG
rnacentral:rRNA from 1 species